GGUGCUAUACAUGCAAGUCGACGCUUUGUCUUUAACUGAUCUGACGAGCUUGCUCUGAUUUGAUUUUAUCUGACAAAGAGUGGCGAACGGGUGAGUAACACGUGGGUAACCUACCUCUUAGCAGGGGAUAACAUUUGGAAACAAGUGCUAAUACCGUAUAAUACCAACAACCGCAUGGUUGUUGGUUGAAAGAUGGUUCUGCUAUCACUAAGAGAUGGACCCGCGGUGCAUUAGCUAGUUGGUAAGGUAACGGCUUACCAAGGCAAUGAUGCAUAGCCGAGUUGAGAGACUGAUCGGCCACAAUGGGACUGAGACACGGCCCAUACUCCUACGGGAGGCAGCAGUAGGGAAUCUUCCACAAUGGGCGCAAGCCUGAUGGAGCAACGCCGCGUGUGUGAUGAAGGGUUUCGGCUCGUAAAACACUGUUAUAAGAGAAGAACGGCACUGAGAGUAACUGUUCAGUGUGUGACGGUAUCUUACCAGAAAGGAACGGCUAAAUACGUGCCAGCAGCCGCGGUAAUACGUAUGUUCCAAGCGUUAUCCGGAUUUAUUGGGCGUAAAGCGAGCGCAGACGGUUAUUUAAGUCUGAAGUGAAAGCCCUCAGCUCAACUGAGGAAUGGCUUUGGAAACUGGAUGACUUGAGUGCAGUAGAGGAAAGUGGAACUCCAUGUGUAGCGGUGAAAUGCGUAGAUAUAUGGAAGAACACCAGUGGCGAAGGCGGCUUUCUGGACUGUAACUGACGUUGAGGCUCGAAAGUGUGGGUAGCAAACAGGAUUAGAUACCCUGGUAGUCCACACCGUAAACGAUGAGUGCUAGAUGUUCGAGGGUUUCCGCCCUUGAGUGUCGCAGCUAACGCAUUAAGCACUCCGCCUGGGGAGUACGACCGCAAGGUUGAAACUCAAAGGAUUGACGGGACCCGCACAAGCGGUGGAGCAU
rnacentral:rRNA from 1 species